rnacentral:tRNA from 1 species
GGGCGUCUGGUCCAAUGGUAAGAUCCGUACGAGCAUCUUGCGCUCGUACGGGAUCCGGGUUCGAUCCCCGGGAUGUCCA